GACGAACGCUGGCGGCGUGCCUAAUACAUGCCAGUAGAACGCACAGUUUAUACCGUAGCUUGCUACACCAUAGACUGUGAGUUGCGAACGGGUGAGUAACGCGUAGGUAACCUGCCUGGUAGCGGGGGAUAACUAUUGGAAACGAUAGCUAAUACCGCAUAAUAUUGAUUAUUGCAUGAUAAUUGAUUGAAAGAUGCUAUUGCAUCACUACCAGAUGGACCUGCGUUGUAUUAGCUAGUAGGUGAGGUAACGGCUCACCUAGGCGACGAUACAUAGCCGACCUGAGAGGGUGCUCGGCCACACUGGGACUGAGACACGGCCCAGACUCCUACGGGAGGCAGCAGUAGGGAAUCUUCGGCAAUGGACGAAAGUCUGACCGAGCAACGCCGCGUGAGUGAAGAAGGUUUUCGGAUCGUAAAGCUCUGUUGUAAGAGAAGAACGGGUGUGAGAGUGGAAAGUUCACACUGUGACGGUAUCUUACCAGAAAGGGACGGCUAACUACGUG
rnacentral:rRNA from 1 species